GACGAACGCUGGCGGCGUGCCUAAUACAUGCAAGUCGAGCGAAUGGAAGGGAGCUUGCUCCCUGAAGUUAGCGGCGGACGGGUGAGUAACACGUGGGCAACCUGCCUGUAAGACUGGGAUAACUUCGGGAAACCGGAGCUAAUACUGGAUACGUUCUUUCCUCGCAUGAGGAAAGAUGGAAAGAUGGUUUCGGCUAUCACUUACAGAUGGGCCCGCGGGGCAUUAGCUAGUUGGUGGGGUAACGGCCCACCAAGGCGACGAUGCGUAGCCGACCUGAGAGGGUGAUCGGCCACACUGGGACUGAGACACGGCCCAGACUCCUACGGGAGGCAGCAGUAGGGAAUCUUCCGCAAUGGACGAAAGUCUGACGGAGCAACGCCGCGUGAGCGAAGAAGGCCUUCGGGUCGUAAAGCUCUGUUGUCAGGGAAGAACAAGUGCCAGAGUAACUGCUGGCACCUUGACGGUACCUGACCAGAAAGCCACGGCUAACUACGUGCCAGCAGCCGCCGCAGUAA
rnacentral:rRNA from 1 species